CAGUCGCCACGGUAAGACAGAGGAUGCAAGCGUUAUCCGGAAUGAUUGGGCGUAAAGCGUGCGCAGGCGGUUGUGUAAGACAGGUGUGAAAUCCCCGGGCUUAACCUGGGAACUGCGCUUGUGACCGCACAGCUAGAGUAUGGCAGAGGGGGGUGGAAUUCCACGUGUAGCAGUGAAAUGCGUAGAGAUGUGGAGGAACACCGAUGGCGAAGGCAGCCCCCUGGGCCAAUACUGACGCUCAUGCACGAAAGCGUGGGGAGCAAACAGGAUUAGAUACCCCCGUAGUCCCUGUCUCUUAUAC
rnacentral:rRNA from 1 species